rnacentral:rRNA from 1 species
CCUACGGGUGGCAGCAGUGAGGAAUAUUGGUCAAUGGCCGAGAGGCUGAACCAGCCAAGUCGCGUGAAGGAAGAAUGACCUAUGGUUUGUAAACCUCUUUUGUCAGGGAACAAAGUUACCCACGUGUGGGUGUUUGAGUGUACCUUAAGAAAAAGCAUCGGCUAACUCCGUGCCAGCAGCCGCGGUAAUACGGAGGAUGCGAGCGUUAUCCGGAUUUAUUGGGUUUAAAGGGUGCGUAGGCUGUGUUUUAAGUCCGCGGUUAAAGUGUGGGGCUCAACCACAACAGAGCCGUUGAAACUGGUGAUCUUGAGUGGGCGAGAGGUAUGCGGAAUGCGUGGUGUAGCGGUGAAAUGCAUAGAUAUCACGCAGAACUCCGAUUGCGAAGGCAGCAUACC